GGAUAGUCCAAUGACCUCAAAAGUUUUAUAAUCAUUGAACUCAAAAGUAACAAACAAGUUGAGUCAGCUUAAAACCUAUAAGCCGAUUCAACUUUUGCCACAGUUAUAUCUUUAUUGGACUAAAACAUUUUGAGUAAAUGAAACCUUGGAGUCAAAACUUAUGAGUAAUGAGACGUGAUGACGUCAUAACGUGCGCCCAUGAACGUGAACUCAGCCACAGAAGUCUUCAAGAUGGCGGAGGUCUGAUGCGAGUGUCAGCUGGCCCAAGUUGAUAACGCACAUACGUCUAGUGAACCGGCGGUGCGUUUGAAAAAUAAGAGCGGAGAUGUGAGCUGAAUUUCAUCGCAUCACAAAUUUCAACCUGUGAAAACCUGGACAGACAUAUGCAGAGGAUGCUGAUCUUUUUGAGACAGAAGGCAGCACGUACCGGAAGGCUGUAUGUGACAUUCUGCACCUCUAUGAUAAACAGCAAGAGCAGACUGCUGAUGUCAAAGGUACUCCUGUCCUGUACUGGCUUCUAAUAUACAAACGUGAGGAGGACCCACAAUUCUUCAAAGUUUGGAAUAUUAAAGAGUCACCAGAGGCAGACAUCAGCAGCACCUCUGUUGGCAUUCUGACCGUCAGCAACAACAAUACAAGUUCAGUGCAUUUCUGUCCGCUCAGUACAGCAGUUGUGGUGGAAGAUGAGCUUGUGGUAGGCAAAUUUCCUAAAUGGGUAUUUUUUUGAGCGCUAAUAUUUAUAGGGAAAGGGCAGCCUAAGAAAAUACUGUUUUAUGUGGGAAAA